CUGCAAAUCUACGAGCAGUGAGCAAAAUACCGACUAUAUAAUUUGAACUACGCCAAACUAUAACCCGGGAAUCAGCAGGGUUAAAGCCAGAGUACCUGGAGGGAACCCAGACAAACACGGGGAGAACCAGCAAACGCCACACAGAAAGGCACUGGUCAGAUGGUGGAGUCAUACUCAGGACAUUCUUGCUGUGAGGUAACAGUGCUAACCACCACACCACUGUCAACAUAAUAAAUUCCUAAUAGCUUCAUUGCUGCUGUAAUGAAACCAUAGUAUGUCAUCUAAAACAGCAUGUUAUCAGCAGGCCUUUUCACAAGUCUUGAAGCUUAACCAGUCACAUGUGCCUCUGGACAGUUUUAUUAAGUUAUAAUAUUUAAACCAACACACAUGCUUUUUGUUCUCAGGUUUUUAUUUUCCCCAUGUAGCACAUGUUAAAGAGAUAGUAAAACAACAUUAUACACUGAUGAAAUAUUUGGUCUUAAAAACAAACAAAAACAGUGACCUUUUUACCACAAAUCUUUAAGUAACUAAUAUACAGAGAAAGUGUUUCAAAAAUGACCCAAUUUACUAUAUUCACCUUUAAAUAACAUAUUUAUAUUUAUGUACACAUUUUUUUGAAAUAAUAAAAAAAUGAUAGUAUUCUUCAUAUAAGAAAUGCACCAUGGUCUAUAUUGAGAUAUAUUAGUGUAUCUAAUGAGUCAUCAUUUGUAGGAAAAUGUAUUCACUAAGGCCACUUAGUACAAUUCUUCAAAAAUAUCUAACGGUAAACUUUAUUGGACACCACACAACAGAGCAAACGAAGGUGCACCUUUGUAUGUCAGCACAGAAGUUUUCUAAAUUUGGAAAUAAAUCAUGUAAAAGAAAAGAAUGAACUUAAGCCAUAUGUUCACAACAUGGUUAGCCAGAAAGGAGCCGUUAUGCUGUUAAAGGUGCUCACAUUUAGGACCUUGCUAAAACAGCCCUUCUCUUUGGCAGAUAGAAACUUUAAACGCUUGAAAAUGGAAA